GACGAACGCUGGCGGCGUGCUUAACACAUGCAAGUCGAACGGAAAGGCCCUGCUUGCCGGGUACUCGAGUGGCGAACGGGUGAGUAACACGUGGGUGAUCUGCCCUUCACUUCGGGAUAAGCCUGGUAAACUGGGUCUAAUACCGGAUAGGAGCCAUUUUUAGUGUGAUGGUUGGAAAGUUUUUUCGGUGUAGGAUGAGCUCGCGGCCUAUCAGCUUGUUGGUGGGGUAAUGGCCUACCAAGGCGGCGACGGGUAGCCGGCCUGAGAGGGUGGACGGCCAAAUGGGGACUGAGAGACGGCCCAGACUCCUACGGGAGGCAGCAGUGGGGAAUAUUGCACAAUGGGCGCAAGCCUGAUGCAGCGACGCCGCGUGGGGGAUGACGGCCUUCGGGUUGUAAACUCCUUUCGCUAGGGACGAAGCUUUUUGUGACGGGACCUAGAUAAGAAGCACCGGCGAACUACGU
rnacentral:rRNA from 1 species